AUGGUACGGUAUCUUUAUUACAAAUACUUAUACGAUACCAAAUAUUUACAAUCAAAGAUAACAAAAUGUUACAAAAUCUUUAUAUCCGGCUUACACGCAGCUUACUCCGGUAUCUACGCCGCACCGUAGAUUACCCACAUUGAAAUAAAAAAAAACAUCUUUAGACUUUUUAACUAAUUUUAAACAAUCUAAUUUAAAUAGUAAUAAAUAUAAUCCACGCACCUCUGGUACUCUACAGAGAAUUGUAUCUAGGAAUGCCUCAACAUUUCUUACAUUUUCGUGGCUAAUCUUUUUCGGUACCAACUUUUUGCUGAAUUCGUUCAAUAAUAACAAUUUUUAAAUUAUAUAACUUCUAUAGUAUUUAAUAACAUUAAUGUACCAAUUAAACGAAUAGAGCGAUGAAGGUAUUCUCGAUUUAUCCAUAGUUAUUUCAAAUCAUCAGAACCUACAUUUAAAAAAAUGAGUUUGAAGUUAGAUACUGACAAAGAAUUUUAACCAUGGAAAUGAGAUGAGAUAGAGAAAUGCUCUUUCAAACAAAUCAAAAAUCCUGCAUUCACACACAUAAUUAUAAAAAAACUAAAUCUUCACAAUAUUUUUUUAUUUAAAAACUAAAAUAAAAAUCUCCUAUGUAAUUUUUACUUCGAUUUUCUUAGUAGAAAAAUACUGCAUUUCAUAGAACUUCCAAAUUAGCAAAACAGUGCUAAAAAAAUAAAAAUUUAAAAUAGUAAAACCAUGCUUAAAAAAAAGAAUUUAAAACAAUGAAUAUUUUAACUAAUAUUAUUUAAUUAUUUUUAUUUAUUAGUCAUUAUUUUCAUAACUCAUAAUUGGACGUAUUUCCUGAAAAACCCCAUAAUCAAGUCAAAAUUGAGAUAUAUGAACAAAUUUAUUACAGCUAGGCGAUUACGGAGAAACGACACAUCGCAUCGAUAAGAAUUAUCCAGGAUAUAAUCAGGAUAUUUCUUAUCCAGGAACUAUCCAGGAUAUAAUCAGGAUAUUUCUUAUCCGGGAAUUAUCCAAGAUAUAAUCAGGAUAUUUCUUAUCCGCUAAUCUUUGCGUUUUCAGGAAAUACGUCAAUUACACAAUCAAUUUCACAAAUGAAACAUUACUAAGCAACCCUUAUUAUGAUAAAUGAAAAAGUAUAUACCCUUUUAUUUCAGUACACAGCCUAUUUUUAAUGUUGGACAUAAUAUUGAGUUGAACCGACACUUACUUUAAAUGUUAGUGGAUGUUACGAUAUUUUCUCUCAUAAGUGCAUCUAUAAUGAACAACCAUACUGCAGUAAUUUAUUUCAUUUUAUAGUCAUGAUAUUUGUAUAGAAGUGAAGGUGUAAAUAAAUAAAAAAAAACUAAACUUGUAUUUUGUACAAUAAGUAGCGGUCUACGCUACCAAAUAGCCCAAAACGACAAUAGAACCGAUCCUUAUAGGAACAAAUUAUUCAGACUGGUCAUGGUCAUUCAAUGAGAUAAUAGUUUCAUGGUAAGUUCAAUGGAGGUUUUAACCUUUACGGCACUUAUAGCAGUAAAAUGAAAAUUUAGGUACUUUGCCAGCAAAUGUACCAAAAAAGAUUUGUUCUAUUCAAUAUUGUAUAAAAUUGAUUUAUGAUUUUUGGUUGUCAAUACAUAAUUUUAAAAUGGUAUGAGCAUCGUAUGUAUUGUGUUGUAUUCGACACAAUUAAAUAUAAAUAAAUUUUGAGAACAUGAUCGGAUCUUUCAAGGUAGGGAUGAAACAAUACAAAAUAUGUAUAUAAAAUAAAACCUGAUUGCGGUCAUUAUUUCGAGACUGUAGUGUGUAAGCUCAAUACAUAAUAAGUAAACUUUUUAAUUUCAUAAAGUGAAACCAAAGUUACCUGCAAAAAUUGUAUGGAGAUAUGUUUUGUGUAAAGCGCUAAAGCGGUUCUACAUUUGCCUGUUUUCCAUAUGAAUAAAAUUAUUUUAAGUUUCAUAAUCAUAACGUACUAUAUAUAAUAUAUAUCUCUCACUGUUUACAUAAUCAAGGCAUUCCAUAUCAAAUCAGAUGCCUAUGUUAAAGCCUUAUCUCUAUAUGAUAUUGUAUGUAAAUCUUUUCUAAGUAUGAAAGAUUUAACGACAAAUAAAAAUAACUCUCAAUACCUAGUAAGAUGAGAUAUUAAUGCUUUAUUUAAAUAAAUAAUAAGACAAAAAAAUUGUUUCAUCUACUUAGUGCAGGUGAAACUGUGUUGAAUAUUCGAAUGUUUAAAGAGAAUUUUACAAACAAAAUUAAACAGAGUGAUUUAUUGAUAACUUAAACAGUAUAUUUCCUAACUAAAACUAUGACAAGUUUUAUUUAGUAAAUAUAUUAUUUGCAACAGCGCCAUAUAAAUAAAAAUACAAAGAAGAACACUUUUCGAUACAGUUGGAAAUUUAUUUAGGAUUUAUAGGUAGACAUAUUAGAUAAUGCUCGCCCAAUAAUUUAUUGGUUAGAGAGCUAAUGGUCUAAAAUACCGGUAUACAGCGACCUUCACCCUAUAAGAACCAGAUUAAAGGUAUUUGUAGGUUUUCGUACCCUAAGGGCGCCAAAUGGACCCACUCCGUCCAUCCGUAUGUCCAUCAGCGAGCUGAAUCUCAAGAACCGUAACAGGUAAAGAGUAGAAAUUUUCACAUUUUCAAAUGAUAAAAAAUUCAAAUUAUGUUAUUUUUAUUAUAAUCGCUAUGUUUUUUUUAAUGAAUACAUGAACCAACAUAUUCGGAAUAGUAUGUCUGAUGAAGUCAAGAGGCUACUAAUAAGCGAAGAAAAUGUAGGGUUGCCCAAAAUAAAAUCGAUCAAAGGUUUAAAAAACUGACCACCAAUAAAAACAAAAGUUCAAGUAUUGAGUCAUAAAAACAUCUUUCAUUAGAUGGGUGAAGGUCGCCUUUAUAGCCGUGUUAACAAAAGCUGACACGUACAAACACAUUCACACAUUGUGCUUGAGUAGUAUCUAUGAAUAAUGAAAACUAUCUGUCUCUUGCACGCGGCUAGCUUAUGAGCGUGACAGAAAUUGUUUUGUUCUACUACGAGUACAGCGUGAUUUCUUGUUUUUAAGCCCAACCAUGCAUCAAUCGAUAAAAUUUGUCCAUUUUGAGGUUGGAAUAAAAUGUUGUCUGGAAAAAUUGUAUGUGGCAAAAUAUUAAGAGGAUAAUCUCACGAAAUUAUGUAUUUUUUUUUUUGCUAUUUCAUGCAUCACAGUAAUCUUUUUAUUGAGGAUUUAAACUUCCCUACAUUUGCAGAGAUAUGAUU